AGCCUCAUCCUCCUGUCAGCCCCUUUCCUACCUAUCCAGCAUUUCCUUUGUCUAGCAGCUUCGGUUGCAUUCCCAGUCCCACACUCUCCAUCCAGUAUCCACCCGCGCUAGACGUGUGCAUCAAAAAUCCAAAAUUGUUUUUUUUAAAAAGCCAAAAUC